rnacentral:misc_RNA from 1 species
UCUCUCAUACAUCAAUCGCCAU